rnacentral:rRNA from 1 species
AUACGGAGGGUGCAAGCGUUGUUCGGAAUCACUGGGCGUAAAGGGCGCGCAGGCGGUUUGUUAAGUCAGAUGUGAAAGCCCACGGCUCAACCGUGGAAGUGCAUUUGAAACUGGCAGACUUGAGUACCAGUGGGGGAAGUGGAAUUCCCGGUGUAGAGGUGAAAUUCGUAGAUAUCGGGAGGAAUACCGGUGGCGAAGGCGACUUCCUGGCUGGAUACUGACGCUGAGGCGCGAGAGCGUGGGGAGCAAACAGGAUUAGAUACCCUAGUAGUCC